rnacentral:rRNA from 1 species
CCAGACUCCUACGGGAGGCAGCAGUGGGGGAUAUUGCACAAUGGGGGGAACCCUGAUGCAGCGACGCCGCGUGGGUGAAGAAGCGCCUCGGCGCGUAAAGCCCUGUCAGCAGGGAAGAAAAUGACGGUACCUGACUAAGAAGCUCCGGCUAAAUACGUGCCAGCAGCCGCGGUAAUACGUAUGGAGCAAGCGUUAUCCGGAAUUACUGGGUGUAAAGGGAGCGUAGACGGAUGUGCAAGUCUGAUGUGAAAGGCGGGGGCUCAACCCCUGGACUGCAUUGGAAACUGUAAAUCUUGAGUGCCGGAGAGGUAAGCGGAAUUCCUAGUGUAGCGGUGAAAUGCGUAGAUAUUAGGAGGAGCACCAGUGGCGAAGGCGGCUUACUGGACUGUAACUGACGUUGAGGCUCGAAAGCGUGGGGAGCAAACAGGAUUAGAUACCCGCGUAUG